UCCAAGAUGACCAAGAAAAGAAGGAACAACGGUCGUGCCAAAAAGGGCCGCAGCCAUGUGCAGCCUAUUCGCUGCACCAACUGUGCCCGAUGUGUGCCCAAGGAUAAGGCCAUUAAGAAGUUCGUCAUUCGGAACAUCGUAGAGGCCGCAGCCGUCAGGGACAUUUCUGAAGCGAGUGUUUUCGAUGCCUAUGUACUUCCCAAGCUGUAUGUGAAACUACAUUACUGCGUGAGUUGUGCCAUUCACAGCAAGGUAGUCAGGAAUCGCUCUCGGGAAGCCCUUAAGGACUGAACACCUUCACCCCGAUUUAGACCUGCAGGUGCUGCCCCACGUCCUCCACCAAAGCCCAUGUAA
rnacentral:misc_RNA from 1 species